rnacentral:rRNA from 1 species
UACGAAGGGGCUAGCGUUGCUCGGAAUCACUGGGCGUAAAGCGCACGUAGGCGGAUUGUUAAGUCAGGGGUGAAAUCCUGGAGCUCAACUCCAGAACUGCCUUUGAUACUGGCGAUCUUGAGUCCGGGAGAGGUGAGUGGAACUGCGAGUGUAGAGGUGAAAUUCGUAGAUAUUCGCAAGAACACCAGUGGCGAAGGCGGCUCACUGGCCCGGUACUGACGCUGAGGUGCGAAAGCCAGGGAGCAAAGCGGG